AUUGAACGCUGGCGGAAUGCUUUACACAUGCAAGUCGAACGAUGAAGUCUAGCUUGCUAGACGGAUUAGUGGCGAACGGGUGAGUAAUAUAUCGGAACGUAUCCAUUAAUGGGGGAUAACUAGUCGAAAGAUUGGCUAAUACCGCAUACGUCCUACGGGAGAAAGCUAGGGACCUUCGGGCCUGGCGUUAAUGGAGCGGCCGAUAUCUGAUUAGCUAGUUGGUGAGGGAAAGGCUCACCAAGGGGACGAUCAGUAGCUGGUCUGAGAGGACGACCAGCAACGCUGGAACUGAGACACGGGCCAGACUCCUACGGGAGGCAGCAGUGGGGAAUUUUGGAGAAUGGGCGCAAGCCUGAUCCAGCCAUUCCGCGUGAGUGAAGAAGGCCUUCGGGUUGUAAAGCUCUUUCGCAAGGGAAGAAAACUUACCCUCUAACAUAGGGUGAGGAUGACGGUACCUUGAUAAGAAGCACCGGCUAACUACGUGCCAGCCGCCGCUGUAAUAC
rnacentral:rRNA from 1 species